rnacentral:rRNA from 1 species
UUUGGAAGGGUUGUGUAUUAUUAGAUAAAGAACCAAUGAGCUUGGUGAUUCAUAAUAACUUUACGGAUCGCAUCUCUGAUGCGACAUAUCAUUCAAGUUUCUGACCUAUCAGCUUUAGACGGUAGGGUAUUGGCCUACCGUGGCUAUGACGGGUAACGGGGGAUUAGGGUUCGAUUCCGGAGAGGGAGCCUGAGAAACGGCUACCACAUCUAAGGAAGGCAGCAGGCGCGCAAAUUACCCAAUCCUGACACAGGGAGGUAGUGACAAGAAAUAACAAUACAGGGCCUAACGGUCUUGUAAUUGGAAUGAGUGAAGUAUAAACCCCUUUACGAGUAUCAAUUGGAGGGCAAGUCUGGUGCCAGCAGCCGCGGUAAUUCCAGCUCCAAUAGCGUAUAUUAAAGUUGUUGCAGUUAAAAAGCUCGUAGUUGGAUUUCUGUUGUAUAAUUUUAUAAUAUUACCAAGGUAAUUAUUAUAUUAUCAACAUCCUUCCUAUUAUAUUCUAAAUAUAUAGGAAAUUUUACUUUGAGAAAAUUAGAGUGCUUAAAGCAGGCAACUGCCUUGAAUACUCCAGCAUGGAAUAAUAAGUAAGGACUUUUGUCUUUCUUAUUGGUUCUAGGACAAAAGUAAUGGUUAAUAGGGACAGUUGGGGGCAUUCGUAUUUAACAGCCAGAGGUGAAAUUCUUAGAUUUGUUAAAGACGAACUACUGCGAAAGCAUUUGCCAAGGAUGUUUUCAUUAAUCAAGAACGAAAGUUAGGGGAUCGAAGACGAUCAGAUACCGUCGUAGUCUUAACCAUAAACUAUGCCGACUAGAGAUUGGAGGUUGUUCCUUACUCCUUCAGACCCCCUUAUGAGAA